rnacentral:rRNA from 1 species
CUGGGGAGACUGCCGGUGAUAAACCGGAGAAGGCGGGGAUGACGUCAAGUCCUCAUGGCCCCUUACAUCCCGGGCUACACACGUGCUACAAUGGCAGGUACAGAGGGCUGCGAAGCCGCGAGGUGGAGCGAAAUCCCAGAAAACCUGUCUCAGUCCGGAUUGAAGUCUGCAACUCGACUUCAUGAAGGCGGAAUCCGCUAGUAACCGCGAAUCAGCCAGGUCGCGGUGAAUACGUUCCCGGGCCUU